UCCUAUUUAAAAGCCAAACAGCCCCACAAUGUCAGACAUUGCUGGAUGGCUGCAGCAGCUGUACACACUCUACACUGCUUGUGUUUUCUUCCCAUCUUCCGAUCCCUCUACUGACCUCUCUGGCCACUUUUUGUCAUUACAGGUAAAAAUAUAUAUAUAUACAAUCAAUAAACUUUUACGCUGUGACACUUCGGGCCAAAGGUCUUGCUACGCUGUGAUUGAUAUUAGAUGCCAGUCCUCACUCCUCUCCUUACCAUCUGAGGCUUGCCAUGCGUCCCGAUUGCGAUGUCCUUUUAAGGGGUGUGCUGAGCCGUUGAAACUUCUCGGGUGAAAAGUUGUCUGUUACACUUUCUGACUCCACACAUACUUC